CCUACGGGAGGCAGCAGUGGGGAAUAUUGCACAAUGGGCGCAAGCCUGAUGCAGCCAUGCCGCGUGUGUGAAGAAGGCCUUCGGGUUGUAAAGCACUUUCAGUCGUGAGGAAGGUGUGUAGUUAAUAGCUGCAU
rnacentral:rRNA from 1 species